rnacentral:rRNA from 1 species
GACGAACGCUGGCGGCGUGCCUAAUACAUGCAAGUCGUACGCUUCUUUUUCCACCGGAGCUUGCUCCACCGGAAAAAGAAGAGUGGCGAACGGGUGAGUAACACGUGGGUAACCUGCCCAUCAGAAGGGGAUAACACUUGGAAACAGGUGCUAAUACCGUAUAACAAUCGAAACCGCAUGGUUUUGAUUUGAAAGGCGCUUUCGGGUGUCGCUGAUGGAUGGACCCGCGGUGCAUUAGCUAGUUGGUGAGGUAACGGCUCACCAAGGCCACGAUGCAUAGCCGACCUGAGAGGGUGAUCGGCCACAUUGGGACUGAGACACGGCCCAAACUCCUACGGGAGGCAGCAGUAGGGAAUCUUCGGCAAUGGACGAAAGUCUGACCGAGCAACGCCGCGUGAGUGAAGAAGGUUUUCGGAUCGUAAAACUCUGUUGUUAGAGAAGAACAAGGAUGAGAGUAACUGUUCAUCCCUUGACGGUAUCUAACCAGAAAGCCACGGCUAACUACGUGCCAGCAGCCGCGGUAAUACGUAGGUGGCAAGCGUUGUCCGGAUUUAUUGGGCGUAAAGCGAGCGCAGGCGGUUUCUUAAGUCUGAUGUGAAAGCCCCCGGCUCAACCGGGGAGGGUCAUUGGAAACUGGGAGACUUGAGUGCAGAAGAGGAGAGUGGAAUUCCAUGUGUAGCGGUGAAAUGCGUAGAUAUAUGGAGGAACACCAGUGGCGAAGGCGGCUCUCUGGUCUGUAACUGACGCUGAGGCUCGAAAGCGUGGGGAGCAAACAGGAUUAGAUACCCUGGUAGUCCACGCCGUAAACGAUGAGUGCUAAGUGUUGGAGGGUUUCCGCCCUUCAGUGCUGCAGCUAACGCAUUAAGCACUCCGCCUGGGGAGUACGACCGCAAGGUUGAAACUCAAAGGAAUUGACGGGGGCCCGCACAAGCGGUGGAGCAUGUGGUUUAAUUCGAAGCAACGCGAAGAACCUUACCAGGUCUUGACAUCCUUUGACCACUCUAGAGAUAGAGCUUCCCCUUCGGGGGCAAAGUGACAGGUGGUGCAUGGUUGUCGUCAGCUCGUGUCGUGAGAUGUUGGGUUAAGUCCCGCAACGAGCGCAACCCUUAUUGUUAGUUGCCAUCAUUYAGUUGGGCACUCUAGCAAGACUGCCGGUGACAAACCGGAGGAAGGUGGGGAUGACGUCAAAUCAUCAUGCCCCUUAUGACCUGGGCUACACACGUGCUACAAUGGGAAGUACAACGAGUCGCGAAGUCGCGAGGCUAAGCUAAUCUCUUAAAGCUUCUCUCAGUUCGGAUUGUAGGCUGCAACUCGCCUACAUGAAGCCGGAAUCGCUAGUAAUCGCGGAUCAGCACGCCGCGGUGAAUACGUUCCCGGGCCUUGUACACACCGCCCGUCACACCACGAGAGUUUGUAACACCCGAAGUCGGUGAGGUAACCUUUUGGAGCCAGCCGC